UACGAAGGGGGCUAGCGUUGUUCGGAAUUACUGGGCGUAAAGGGCGCGUAGGUGGUUGAGUAAGUCAGGUGUGAAAGCUCUGGGCUUAACCCAGGAAUUGCAUCUGAUACUGCUCGGCUUGAGUACGGUAGAGGAGGGUGGAAUUCCCAGUGUAGCGGUGAAAUGCGUAGAUAUUGGGAGGAACACCGGUGGCGAAGGCGGCCCUCUGGACCGAAACUGACACUGAAGCGCGAAAGCUAGGGGAGCAAACGGG
rnacentral:rRNA from 1 species